rnacentral:rRNA from 1 species
GACGAACGCUGGCGGCGUGCUUAACACAUGCAAGUCGAACGAAGUGGCGAACGGGUGAGUAACGCGUAAUCAACCUGCCCUUCAGAGGGGGAUAACGUCCGGAAACGGGCGCUAAUACCGCAUACUAUCAGAUGAGCCUAGGUCGGAUUAGCUAGUGGGUGGGGUAAAGGCCUACCAAGGCGACGAUCAGUAGCCGGUCUGAGAGGAUGAACGGCCACAUUGGGACUGAGACACGGCCCAGACUCCUACGGGAGGCAGCAGUGGGGAAUCUUCCGCAAUGGACGAAAGUCUGACGGAGCAACGCCGCGGGAGUGAUGACGGCCUUCGGGUUGUAAAGCUCUGUUAAUCGGGACGCGGUACCGGAAUAGAAAGCCACGGCUAACUACGUGCCAGCCGCCGCGGUAAUAC